AAGGCCAAUAAGCUGCCCCUUGAAGGACUUUGUUCUGCCUCCUGAGAAUUCAGAGAAGUUCAAUCCUCGAGGAGCAAGAAAGCGAUCUUCAUUCAGAAUUGCCAGCGCGUUAGCAAGAAGCAGACAACCCUCUAGUAGUGUCCACAGACCCAUUUACCUCGGCUACUUGAAACACACUUCAGAGGGUUUUGACUCUAGGGAUUCCUUUGUACUGGAAAUGUUCUUGUCUGCUCUCUG
rnacentral:misc_RNA from 1 species